AGAGUUUGAUCCUGGCUCAGGAUGAACGCUGGCGGCGUGCCUAACACAUGCAAGUCGAACGGAUCUGUAUUGAAACCUAGUGAUAUACAGGUUAGUGGCGGACGGGUGAGUAACGCGUGGAUAACCUGCCGUAUACCGGGGGAUAACACUUAGAAAUAGGUGCUAAUACCGCAUGAGCGCACAGCUCCGCAUGGAGCGGUGUGAAAAACUCCGGUGGUAUACGAUGGAUCCGCGUCUGAUUAGCCAGUUGGCGGGGUAACGGCCCACCAAAGCGACGAUCAGUAGCCGGCCUGAGAGGGUGAACGGCCACAUUGGGACUGAGACACGGCCCAGACUCCUACGGGAGGCAGCAGUGGGGAAUAUUGCACAAUGGGGGAAACCCUGAUGCAGCGACGCCGCGCGAGUGAAGAAGUAUCUCGGUAUGUAAAGCUCUAUCAGCAGGAAAGAUAAUGACGGUACCUGACUAAGAAGCCCCGGCUAACUACGUG
rnacentral:rRNA from 1 species